rnacentral:rRNA from 1 species
UUUGAUCCUAUAAGCUCAAGAUUGAACGCUUGGCAGGAUGCUUUACACAUACAAGUCGGGCGGCAGCACGGACUUCAGUCUGGUGGCGAUGGCGAGCAGGUGAGUAAUGUAUCGGAACGUGCCCUGGUAGCGGGGAUAGCUGCUGAAAGCGUGGCUAUCACCGCAUACCCUUCGAGGAAAGCGGGGGACCUUCGGGCCUCACUCAGCUAAGAGCAACUGAUAUCGGAUUAUAGCUGAUUCUGGUGGGUAACACGGCUCUGGGCGACGUCCGUAGCUGGUUUGAGGAGACGACCAGCCACACUGGGACUGAGAACGGCUGGCACCUGCAGGAGAGCAACAGUGAAAUUUUGGACCCAGUGGAAGCCUGAUCCAGCCAUCCCGCGUGUGCGAUGAAGACUGGGGUUGUAAAGCACUUUUGGCGGAAAAACGGCACGGGAUAAUACCGUGCAACUGGCUGAUACCUGCAGAAUAAGCACCGAAGCUAGCACGUGCCGAGCAGCCGCGUGUCCAUGGGGUGCCAAGCGGAGUCGUCGGAAUUACUGGGCGUAAAGCGUGCGCAGGCGGUUCGGAAAAGAAGGAAUCAAAAAUCCGGAAGCAACUUUUGGAACUGCAUUACCUUCCGAGCUGCAGGUGUCAGAGAGGUGGGUCGCGAUGGCCAGCAGUGAAAUGCGUAGAUAUGCGGAGGGGAACACCGAUGGCGAAGGCAGCCUCCUGGGAUAACAUGACGCUCAUGCCACAGCAAUGAAGAACAAACAGGAUUAGAUACCCUGGUAGUCGCCUAAACGAUGUCAACUAGCUGUUGGAGUACACUUCCGGGCCUUGGUAGCGCAGCUAACGCGUGAAGUUGACCGCCUGGGGAGUACGGUCGCAAGAUUAAAACUCAAAAUUGACGGGGACCCGCACAAGCGGUGGAUGAUAUUGGAUUAAUUCGAUGCAACGCGAAAAACCUUACCUACCCUUGACAUGUCUGAAUCCCGAAGAGAUUUGCAAAGGGUACUCGCAAGAGAACCAGACGGUACUGCAUGGCUGUCGUCAGCUCGUGUCGUGAGAUGUUGGGUUAAGUCCCGCAACGAGCGCAACCCUUGUCGUGUAGUUGCUACGAAAGGGCACUCUAAUGAGACUGCAGGUGAUAAACCGGAGGAAGGUGGGGAUGACGUCAAGUCCUCAUGGCCCUUAUGGGUAGGGCUUCACACGUCAUACAAUGGUCGGGACAGAGGUCGCCAUAACCCGCGAGGGGAAUGGUCCCGAAGCCAGUCGUAGUCCGGAUCGCAGUCUGCAACUCCUUCGUGGGGAGUGGAGAUCCUUCGAUAAUCGCCGGAUCAGCAUGUCGCGGUGAAUACGUUCCAGGUCUUGCAUGCCUGCGCCCAGCUCCGCACCAUGGGUCAGGUUUUUACCAGAAGUAGUGCUUCCGCUGCAAGAGAGGCGAUUACUGCAGUAGGAGGAUUCAUGACUGGGGGUGGAGAGUCAUGGCCAGUGCUCAUUUUCCAAGGUGCUCCCAG